AUUGAACGCUGGCGGCAGGCCUAACACAUGCAAGUCGAGCGAGCGGCGGACGGGUGAGUAAUGUAUGGGGACUGCCCGAUAGCGGGGGAUAACUACUGGAAACGGUGGCUAAUACCGCAUACUGUCGGAUAACCCAUAUGGGAUUAGCUCGUAGGUAAGGUAAUGGCUUACCUAGGCGACGAUCCCUAGCUGGUCUGAGAGGAUGAUCAGAAAUACUGGGACUGAGAAACGGCCCAGACUCAUACGGAGGCAGAAGUGGGGAAUAUUGCACAAUGGGCGGAAGCCGGAUGCAGCAAUGACGCGUGUAGGAAGAAGGCCCUAGGGUGGUAAAGUACGGUCAGUCGGGAGGCGUUACCGACAGAAGAAGCAACGGCUAACUCCGUGCCUGCAGCCGCGGUAAUAC
rnacentral:rRNA from 1 species